rnacentral:tRNA from 1 species
AAGGGUGUAGUUAAUUUAUAAUAUUAGAUUGUAAAUCUAAAGUUUUGACUCUUG